GUAGGGAAUUUUCGUCAAUGGGGGGAACCCUGAACGAGCAAUGCCGCGUGUGUGAGGAAGGUCUUCGGAUCGUAAAGCACUGUUGUAAGAGAGGAACGGUAUCCAGAGGGAAUGCUGGGUAAGUGACAGUAUCUUACCAGAAAGCCACGGCUAACUACGUGCCAGCAGCCGCGGUAAUACGUAGGUGGCGAGCGUUAUCCGGAAUCAUUGGGCGUAAAGGGUGCGUAGGCGGCGAGUUAAGUCUGAGGUAAAAGGUUGCAGCUCAACUGUAACAAGCCUUGGAAACUGACUGGCUAGAGUGCAGGAGAGGGCAGUGGAAUUCCAUGUGUAGCGGUAAAAUGCGUAGAUAUAUGGAGGAACACCAGUGGCGAAGGCGGCUGUCUGGCCUGUAACUGACGCUGAGGCACGAAAGCGUGGGGAGCAAAUAGGAUUAGAAACCCUAGUAGUCC
rnacentral:rRNA from 1 species